UCCAGCCCCAUCUGUCAUGACCGAAUGAGAACUUUUUCUCUCCUCUCAAAAAAACAUGAGACCUUUUUCUCAUUGGAACUCCCCCUGAACUAGUGAACUCAUGUGCUCCGCGGCGGCAUCAACUGCAAAUGCCGGUGGAUGCUGCUACGCCGAGCUCACAGGCUGCUCGCCAUCCUUCCGCCCGCAACUAGCCUCUCCCGCAGCUCCUGCACACAUCCCAGCCCGCACCUCCCCCUCGUCUCCCUCCACAGCCCUGCCGCCGACGCGCCCGCCACCUGCUCGACGGAACGCCCCGCGGGACACGGGCCAGCUCCAUCGUGCGCGCGCUCAGGGAAGACGACGCGCCCCUCGCCGACGCCGUCGAACCCCUCCACUGCGCUGCCCUCAAGUCCGGCGCCCGUGCUCACCUCCCUCCACGCGGCCUACGCCAGCUGGAUGCGUAGUCGACCACAUGACCACACAUCCAUCGUCAUUUGUCAUUUCCGAAGCUAGGAUCGAUAGAUAUUAGCACUAUUGUGUUGUUUUCUGCCCCCUUUUUCUUUAUGCGUACAUAUCAAUGUGAGAUGUAUAAUGCACAAACAUCCUUUUGGAGGUGAGGCGAUGAGAUGUAUAAUGCACAAACAUCCUUUUGGAGGUGAGGUGAUGAGAUGUAUAAUGCACAAACAUCCUUUUAGAAGCAGAAUCUUUUAUGAGA